rnacentral:rRNA from 1 species
GAGAGUUUGAUUCUGGCUCAGGACGAACGCUGGCGGCGUGCCUAAUACAUGCAAGUAGAACGCUGAAGAAAGGAGCUUGCUUCUUUUGGAUGAGUUGCGAACGGGUGAGUAACGCGUAGGUAACCUGCCUUGUAGCGGGGGAUAACUAUUGGAAACGAUAGCUAAUACCGCAUAACAGCUUUUGACACAUGUUAGAAGCUUGAAAGAUGCAAUUGCAUCACUACGAGAUGGACCUGCGUUGUAUUAGCUAGUAGGUAGGGUAACGGCCUACCUAGGCGACGAUACAUAGCCGACCUGAGAGGGUGAUCGGCCACACUGGGACUGAGACACGGCCCAGACUCCUACGGGAGGCAGCAGUAGGGAAUCUUCGGCAAUGGGGGCAACCCUGACCGAGCAACGCCGCGUGAGUGAAGAAGGUUUUCGGAUCGUAAAGCUCUGUUGUAAGAGAAGAACGUGUGUGAGAGUGGAAAGUUCACACAGUGACGGUAACUUACCAGAAAGGGACGGCUAACUAC